rnacentral:rRNA from 1 species
UACGAAGGGGGCGAGCGUUGUUCGGAUUUACUGGGCGUAAAGGGCUCGUAGGCGGCCAACUAAGUCAGACGUGAAAUCCCUCAGCUUAACUGGGGAACUGCGUCUGAUACUGGAUGGCUUGGAUCCGGGAGAGGGAUGCGGAAUUCCAGGUGUAGCGGUGAAAUGCGUAGAUAUCUGGAGGAACACCGGUGGCGAAGGCGGCAUCCUGGACCGGUAUUGACGCUGAGGAGCGAAAGCCAGGGGAGCAAACGGG